rnacentral:lncRNA from 1 species
GUAUUAACAUCUCCUGUUAAUUAAUCAUUGCUAUGUUGAAGGCUGCAAAAUGGAGUUGCUAGAUAAAACACAAGACAACCAGUUAAAUUUGAAUUGCAGAUGAACAACAAAUUUGAAAUGCAAAUUUCACUGAGUGCUUUGUAUCCUAACUUGCCUACCCUGGCAACCCUGCUCUUGAGGCAGUUGGUCAUAGCUUGGUUAUUAGUACUUUCCUACAGGCUGCCUUACAAUAACUCCUUAAACUUUCUGAAUCAUUAGCACUUUUCACUGAAUUAACCGAAUAAACCCAUUGACUCAUUAGGUGUUUCCUCGCUAAAUUAAGCCACUUCAAUAACUAGUUGCUUAUAUUGAAAAAUUGUAAUGCAGUUAGAUCAAUUACCACUUUUAGCCCUUGGAAGUCGGUCGUUAGAGUUCAUGGCUAUAAGAUGCAAACCAUAACAACAGAGAACAAUUAUACACACUUCAUUUGUUUGUUUUUAAGGAAGGAGAGGCAUAUAAGGAAGGAAAGGAUUCUUUCUAAACAGAUAUAAAAAUUUAACUUUUAAAGUUUGAAAAAACAUUUAAAAAAUAUUAUUAGAUUCUGUUGAUCAACCACCAAAAUACUAAUUUUGAAAUAUUACCACAUGAAACCCUGGUGAUCUACUGUGAAGACAGCACAGGAGUAAGUUGCCUGGAGAUGCUGUUCCCGGAGAGAACCUGGGGAGA